GUUGGGAUAUCUCAGUUGGU
rnacentral:tRNA from 1 species